rnacentral:lncRNA from 1 species
GGUCCUCAAGAUGGCCCCAAGGUCAUCGGGACAUCUCUGUGGUCUUCAAGAUGUCCCUAAGGUCCUCAGGAUGUCCCCAAGGUCAUCAAGAUGGCCCCAAGGUCAUCAGGACGUCUCUGCGGUCUUCAAGAUGUCCUCGUGGUCCUCAAGAUGUCCCUAUGGUCGUCAAGAUGUCCCCAAGGUCCUCAGGAUGUCCCCAAGGUCAUCAAGAUGGCCCCAAGGUCAUCAGGACGUCUCUGUGGUCCUCAGGAUGUCCCCAAGGUCCUCAAGCUGGCCCCAAGGUCCUCAGGAUGUGCACGUGGCCCUCAAGAUGUCCCCAAGGCCCUCAAGAUGGCCCCAAGGUCCUCAGGAUGUCCCCAAGGUCCUCAAGAUGUCCCCAAGGUCAUCGGGACGUCCCUGUGCUCCUCAAGAUGUCCCCUGUGGUCCUCAAGGGGUUCCCAUCAUCUCCAGGACGUCCCUGUGCUCCUCAAGAUGUCCCCAGGGUCAUCAGGAUGUCCCCAAGAUUUCCCCAAGGCCACCAGGACGUCUCCAAGGUCCCUUAGAUAGCCCCAAGAUCUUCAGGAUGUCCCCAAGGCCACCGGGAUGUCCUCAGAUGUCCCCAUGGUCUUCAAGAUGUCCCCAAGGCCACCAGGACGUCCCCAAGGUCCCUUAGCUAGCCCCAAGAUCUCCAGGAUGUCCCCAAGGCCACCAGGAUGUCCUCAGAUGUCCCCAUGGUCUUCAGGACGUCCCCAAGGCCACCAGGACGUCCCCAUGGUCCCCAAGAUGGCCCUUGUGGUCUUCAAGAUGUCCCCAGAUGUCCCCAAGUUGUCCAGGAUGUCCCCAUGAUCUUCAGGAUGUCCCCAAGAUGUCCCCAAGGCCACCGGGAUGUCCUCAGAUGUCCCCAUGGUCUUCAGGAUGUCCCCAAGGCCACCAGGACGUCCCCAUGAUCCUCAAGAUGUCCCCAUGAUCUCCUAGAUGUCCCCAAAAUCUUCAGGAUGUCCCCAAGAUGUCCCCAAGGCCACCUGGACGUCUCCAUGGUCCUCAAGAUGUCCCCCCAAGUUCUUCAGAAUGUCCCCAAGGCUACCAGAAUGUCCCCAUGGUCCCCAAGAUGUCCCCAAAUUGUCCAGAAUGUCCCCAAAGUCUUCAGGAUGUCCCCAAGAUGUCCCCAAGGCCACCAGGACGUCUCCAUGGUCCUCAAGAUGUCCCCCCAAGUUCUUCAGAAUGUCCCCAAGGCUACCAGAAUGUCCCCAUGGUCCCCAAGAUGUCCCCAAAUUGUCCAGAAUGUCCCCAAAGUCUUCAGGAUGUCCCCAAGAUGUCCCCAAGGCCACCAGGACGUCACCAAGGUCCCUUAGCUAGCCCCAAGAUCUCCAGGAUGUCCCCAAGGCCACCAGGAUGUCCUCAGAUGUCCCCAUGGUCUUCAGGACGUCCCCAAGGCCACCAGGACGUCCCCA